UGCCUACGGGGGGCAGCAGUGGGGGAUAUUGCACAAUGGGGGAAACCCUGAUGCAGCGACGCCGCGUGAGCGCUGCGGUCUUUCGGUCUGUCCGGCUCUCUCCGCCGGGCCGACCAUGACGGUACCUGACUAAGAAGCCCUGGCUGACUACGUGCCGGCAGCCGCGGUAAUACGUAGGGGGCAAGCGUUAUCCGGAUUUACUGGGUGUAAAGGGAGCGUAGACGGCAGUGCAAGUCUGAAGUGAAAGGCAAGGGCUCAACCCU
rnacentral:rRNA from 1 species